AUUGAACGCAGGCGGCAGGCUUAACACAUGCAAGUCGAGCGGGGUGAUGGUGCUUGCACUAUCACUUAGCGGCGGACGGGUGAGUAAUGCUUAGGAAUCUGCCUAUUAGUGGGGGACAACAUCUCGAAAGGGAUGCUAAUACCGCAUACGUCCUACGGGAGAAAGCAGGGGAUCACUUGUGACCUUGCGCUAAUAGAUGAGCCUAAGUCGGAUUAGCUAGUUGGUGGGGUAAAGGCCUACCAAGGCGACGAUCUGUAGCGGGUCUGAGAGGAUGAUCCGCCACGCUGGGACGGAGACACGGCCCAGACUCCUACGGGAGGCAGCAGUGGGGAAUAUUGGACAAUGGGGGGAACCCUGAUCCAGCCAUGCCGCGUGUGUGAAGAAGGCCUUAUGGUUGUAAAGCACUUUAAGCGAGGAGGAGGCUCUUUUGGUUAAUACCCAAGAUGAGUGGACGUUACUCGCAGAAUAAGCACCGGCUAACUCUGUGCCAGCCGCCGCCGUAA
rnacentral:rRNA from 1 species